rnacentral:rRNA from 1 species
GAUGAACGCUGGCGGCGUGCCUAAUACAUGCAAGUCGAGCGGUUGGGUUAAGAGCUUGCUCUUAUGGAGUUAGCGGCGGACGGGUGAGUAACACGUGGGUCACCUGCCCAUGAUACUGGGAUAACUCCGGGAAACCGGGGCUAAUACCGGAUAACAUUUUGAACCGCAUGGUGCGAGAUUGAACGGCGGCUUCGGCGGUCGCGGAUGGUUAGCCCCGCGUCGCAUUAGGUAGUUGGUGAGGUAACGGCUCACCAAGGUAACGAUGCGGAGCCGCACGGCGAGGGUGAGUGGCCACACUGGGAGGGAGACACGGCCCAGAGGGCCACGGGAGGCAGCAGUAGGGAAACGGGCGGAAUGGAUGAAAGUUAGACGGAGCUAGGCGGAGGGAGGGAUGAGGGAUGUCGCGUCGUAAAACACUGCUGUUAGGGAAGAACACGUGCUAGUUGAAGAAGCUGGGAAAGUGACGGUACCUAACGAGAAAGCCACGGCUAACUACGUG